UUAGGCUGCGCACGCGCCUGUCGCGCCCAUUGUAUUCUUCCAUUUUCAAUACUCACUACAUUAGUUUACUAACUCUGGCGGCGUACAGUCGCGUCUGAUAUAAUUUGUAUAACAACUUUAAAUCGUGACGGUACGACUAACAAUCCAUAAUGUAAAUGGCAAACAUACAUUUUAUUAUCACCUGAUAAAAUGGGAAUUAGUGAUGUGACAACGUGAAAAGUGACAAAGGAAAAACGCUGACGCAGAUACGGAACGCAAGAUGUGGUCGUACUCCAGCGUGGACAUCCCCGAAGCGAGGCUGAGUCGCACGGAACGCUGCAAAAUUUAUCUCUCUGAGUGCGUCGUCUGCUUCUGCAUAGUUUUCUUCAUAGUGUGUGUAGGAUUAUUAUUGUAUUUGUUCUUCCAUUUGUACAACACUGUUUCUAGUUCAGGAAAACCAAUAAUGUUGGCGGAAAGCUAGCGGGAUGAAAGUUUAAUUAAAAAUGGUCUGAUGAAUAUAAUACUUAGUUAAUUCGAAUGUUGCUAAAGUUAGAUGAAAGUUAAUGAAAUCGCAAAUCGGUUCAUUGUAAAGUUAAUAACAGUCAGGUAUAGGCCAAAAAUGUUAACUAAACUACUUCGAUAACUAUUUAUAUUUUUAAACGUUUGUUAUCAUGUACCUAUGAAAUAAAAAAUAUAUAAAAUAUAAUUUUCCCAAUCUUAUGUUAGAUACAUAAUUAUGGGAGGGGAUAGACAUAUAACUACAUACAUAUACAGACGAGAUGAUAUGUAUGUGCAAUGGGGAUGGCAGACAUUAUGGAUUUCCAUUUGCUACUCCUACGAUCCUUACAGACCUCUCCCGCUUCCUUCGCAUUACUCUUUUCAUGCAUAAUCGACAAUUACAGGUACUCCUAACAUCUCCCUUUUUUAAGACAUGCCAAAUUUGGUCCUUGUUAGUAAUAUAUUAUCAUAUAUCCUUUUCGGGAAUCCCCCGUUUUACGCACUUUUAUUCCUUACAGUGACAGUUCAUCGAUCUCUCCAUAGGUCUUCUAAUCCCUUUUUUACAAUUAUCAAUAUUUAGAAUAUUUUCAAUGACGUGUUGUAUUUUCUACUUAAAAACAAAUAAAAUCACGGAUCUCGUCUUCUUAUAAUUUUUUUAGCUAAUCCAACUAGAAAUAUAAAUUUUAAGUAAAAACCAGACUUGUCCUUAAUAAUUCAAAUUUAAAAACUUAUCAGUACUAGCUACUAGCUUAGAAAAAUAAGUACGAGUACUUACUGUUAUUAACUAAUUAUAUUAUUAAGAACGAAUGGAUAAUAAUGUGUUAACAAAAAAAAAAUAAAGAGCUUAAAAAUGUGAUAUUACUGUACAGAUACAUAUUUCAUAUUGUUAUGUAGUCGAAUGUACAAAAUAUACUUACUAUUAAAAUGUUAUUGUAAAAAAUUAAUACGUAUUUGUAAGCUAAUAAAAGGUAUUAUUUUAAUUUGUUUAUUUUGUAUUAAGUACUUGUAUUGUUUGUACAAUCUCAUCAUUUGAUAGUUGUCUCCAGACAAGUCGUUGAACGAUAUGAGUACCCAAAGAUUUAUUUGUAAAUAUAAUAAAUGUCUGAUAAAUAUAAAUAAAGUGUAUAUUGUUGAGUAUCGAUUACAAAAUUAUUGUUUCA